AGUCUAAUCUGCCCAAUGAAAAUUUUAAUGGCUGCAGUAUCAAUAACUGUACAAAGGUAGCAAAAUAAUUAGUUUUUUAAUUAAAAACUAGAAGGAAAGAUUAAAUGAAAUAUAAACUUUAUAAAUAAAAUAAAAAUUAAAAUUAAAUUUUAAGUUAAAAUUCUAAAAUAUAAUUAAAAGACGAGAAGACCCUUUAGAAUUUUAUAUUAAUUUAAAUUAAAAUUAAAAUAUUAUUUAUAUAAAUUUAAACUAAUAUUUAAUUGGGGUAAUUUUUUAAUUUCAUAAACUUUAAAAUAAUUAAACAUUAAUUUAUGAAUUUAUAAACCUAAAAUUUAGAAUUUUAAAAUAAAUUACCUUAGGGAUAACAGCGUAAA
rnacentral:rRNA from 1 species